ACCUACUUAGCAAUGUCAUGUUUUAUGGGAUAGAGUGAAACACAUUUUGUUGAUACGAGUUUCAAUCUCAGUGCCACUGACUGGCUAGUGCUGAGCUAGCUAACGUUAGCUUUCCUAUUUUUGCACAAUUAAUGUGAUAGAUGGAUACCCUUCCCUGACCAGUGGUGUUGAAGAGGCAGAGAGGAGGAUGCAUCAACACCCUGGAAAUAUGUUUGCGAUGCAAUCACUCAUAACACUUUUUUUGAGUGAUAAAUUAGUAUUGUCUUUAAGAUUGAUAAGAUACCCAGAGGACGCCUGUUGCUCUGUUUGUCCGACCACAUCCUGGAAAGUCUUCAUGUAGUACCGUACCUCACAAGCGGAUAAUCCAAGGAAGGUGUGGCACUGCUAUUGCCUCAUUUUAACAUGCAUGUACAAUCUGUGUGUAUAUGCAAAGACUUUAAGGUGUGCAAAUAAACUGGAUAGAACAA